rnacentral:rRNA from 1 species
CUCAAAACAGCUAAUUGAGCCAACCCGUCUCUGUCGCAAAAGAGUGGGAUGAUUUUUAGGUAGAGGUGAAAAGCCUACCGAGCUUAGAGAUAGCUGGUUAUUCAGGAAAAGAAUUUUAGUUCAACCCUAAGCCCACCCCCUUUUAAAAAUAAAGCUACCAGGCUUAGGAGCUACUCAAAUAAGGCACAGCUUAUUUGACAAAGGAGACAACCUACAAAAAAGGGUAAAUACCCCAAAAAUAAAACAAGUGGGCCCGAAAGCAGCCACCUUUAAGAAAGCGUUAAAGCUCUGUUUAUACUAAAGACUAAUACCUAACCACACAUUAAACCCUUUAUUUCUACUGAAUGGUUCUAUAUGAUAUAGAAACCCUAAUGCUAAAACUAGUAACAAGAAAUCGGAUUUCUCCAAAAUACAAGCAUAAGUCAAAAUGGACAAGCCAUUGAUAAUUAACACGACUGAGCCAAAUAUAGUAACUAAACAAGAAAAAACUAUAAAUCCUUCUGUUAACCUCACACAAGUGUAUUUCUGGAAAGAUUAAAAGAAAGGGAAGGAACUCGGCAAAUCUUAACCCCGCCUGUUUACCAAAAACAUCGCCUCUUGAUUCUCAUAAGAGGUCCAGCCUGCCCAGUGACAAUUAAACGGCCGCGGUACCCUGACCGUGCGAAGGUAGCAUAAUCACUUGUUCUCUAAAUAAGGACUUGUAUCAACGGCAUCACGAGGGUUAUACUGUCUCCCCUUUUUAAUCAGUGAAACUGACCUUCCCGUGAAGAGGCGGGAAUAAAAAUACAAGACGAGAAGACCCCAUGGAGCUUUAAACCCAAUAGCAACCUCUAUUUUCUACAACCGUAUAAUCAAGAAGACCUGCUUAUUGGUUUUAGGUUGGGGUGACCCUGGAGUAAAACUAAACCUCCAUGACGAAUAGAUUUCAUCCUAAUCCCAGAGCCACUGCUCUAAGAAUCAAAAAUUUGACGUAAACUGAUCCGCUUAGCGAUCAACGAACCAAGUUACCCUGGGGAUAACAGCGCAAUCCAUUUCAAGAGCCCCUAUCGACAAAUGGGUUUACGACCUCGAUGUUGGAUCAGGGUAUCCCAGUGGUGCAGCCGCUACUAAUGGUUUGUUUGUUCAACAAUUAAAACCCU